AGUAAGAACAAUAUGGCGGUGCUAGUCUGGGCCGUUAUUCUUGUGUCAGGUCAGAUAUUCCACUUGUCUUUUACACAAUUGUCAUUUGUACAGAAAAUUAUCUGAAGUUUAGAAAAAAAAAACGUUAUAGCAAAUGAAAUAAAUGUAAAUUGUAGGAAUCCUUGGUUCGCAGGGAGAGGCCAUCAAGAAGCAGGGUAAGUACAAAUCACUACAGCCGUCCUUGAUCUGUCAUGGCGAUGUAUUGGUAUUCUAAAUUAAAAGAAGAUGCGUAAGAGAGUCAGAACAGUGUACCGACAUGACGUUUGAGCUUAGUGUUGGUGUUGUAUUACACGCUAAACGUGUGGACAAAUUAUAUUAAAAGAUGGCAACUGUGAUCAUUUCUUAAUUAAAACUAAACAGAUACGUCAAAACAGAAACCACACUUUAAAUCUUUUGAUAGUUACAUACAUGUUUGUACAAACUCGGGUCUGAUACAAAUACCAAGGCCAUGCUACAUACGUAAAUACGUUAUAACAAAGUGUUUUUCUCUCAGCCCCACUGGUUUGCUACAGAUGUGAUAAGGUCGCCGACGCAGUGGACUGUACCGUAACGGAGGCCUGUAACUCGGACGAGCAAUGCUUUACCGACAAAUACAUCAGUGAGGAAGGGAAUGUGUACUUCACACUAGGAUGCAAGGCAAAGCGAAUCUGUGAUAUACUAGCGUCGUUUGGGAAACGUGAGGUCGAGGAGGACAUGACUGACCGAGAGAAGAGAAACAUAAUCCACCUGUGUACUCAGUGCUGCGCCUCUGGUUACUGUAAUAACAAACUGUGCACAGUGGUCACAAGUAACGCGAACUUUCACUUAUACCCCUUUAACAAUUAAUCAAAGAUGUCAAUGUUAAACGGUUUUAAGAACAUCGUACUGUAUACUAGUUUCUACUAAAACAACGCGAUAUCAAAUUACUUGUAACCGUAGCAUUGCUACACGAUUUCCGUGAUGCAUGUGGUAGAAAUAUUUUAUUUCUACUCAGAAUUUUGUAUUUCUUCAUGCAAACGUUUUUCUCAGCUCCUGUGCCAACCAGAAAAUGUCAGGUCUGCACACAGCUAGAAGAGGAUCCCUUAUCAUGUACCCAGAUCCAAAACUGCGAGCCCCACCAGGUGAGUAGGACCUCGUGUCUUGUUCUAAGGUACCUCACCAGGUGAGUAGGACCCCCUUGUCUUGUUCUAAGGUACCUCACCAGUAUGUAGGACCCCGUGUCUUGUUAUAAGGUACCUCAACAGUAUGUAGGACCUCCAUUUUCUGAUUUGUCUCUUGGUAUGUUAGACGAUAUGAUUUAGCCUGGCUUGGUUAAGUACAUCAAGACUACCCCUAGCAUAAAUUUUGUAAUGCCCUUAUUAAUCAAAACUCGAAACUUGCUCGGAACAAACUAAUCUUACAUAAUUAAAGUGCCAUAACCCCAUAUCAAACGCAUAUUAAAUAUGACAAGGUUUUUCUUGUGUAUAAUCUUUAUUACGCUUCUUAAUAUCAAGACAUCAGUAUUCGAACUUCAUGAACGAUUUAGUAUAAAUCUGCUUAGUAUUGUGAAAAAAUGCCAUGUACCUUAUGACUUUAUGAUCUAAAAAUUCACGAACUUUAUUCCCUUAAAUUAUGUGACAAGAUUGCACCUUUUACGAUGCUUAAGGUCAAGGUCACUUGCGUAAUUUGUCCUGAGCAUGUCAAUAUUUGCUACUUCACAUUGAAUAAGAAUUAAAAAUAAAAUUCCCGGUGUCAUCCUACAGAAAAUAUCUACAUGAAGUUCUCUUUCUCUAACAGGAAUGCUACGCUGAUGUCGUGAUGGAUCAAAACCACCAAGUUCGUCACCGAAUGGGCUGCCGUAGUAAAGUAGUAAGUAGUUCGAUUUACUGCCGCAGUAUGAAAUUAGUCGAGGAAAACUUUGGCCCAUUUUGCGACGUUGACAUAGAGUCGUUUUCACAAGAGCUUGGACUUUGGGCAAUACACGACAAACUCCGAUUUUUUGAAGGCGUGGUCUAUUCUGGUUAACUGUCCAGUCAUUGGCUAAUAGAUAUGAAUAAAUUGAACAUAAUGAUACUUGCUCGACUUCACCCAGAGAUGUAUAUUUCAUUUGAAACAGCGCAACAGUGCAGAUAAUUCCAAUUUUGAUAGUCUAUGAAUAUUAAUGAGCUUUUCUUAGCAAAUUAGAACUAAAAAGGUCAUUAUUUGACAGCUUAUUUUGUUGCGCAAACUAAAUGUGACAUCCCACCGAAAGUCCAAGCUCUUGUUAAAACAUAUCUAAAAUAAAAUUACUGAAAACUUGAAAGUGACAAAUUAAAAAGUAAAUCUAAUUUUGUAUCUUCUACGCUACAGAUGUGCGAGGCAUUCCUGCACCAUGGCCACGGACUUUCUCACGGCAGACGGGCGGUCGGCAUUGGUAACGACGCCCACGUCGCCCAGCUGUGUGGGGGAUGCUGUAACAGCGACGCCUGUAAUAGGGGCGGCUGUUACACUAUCUGUGAGUAGGCGGGGCCUAAAGAUAACCUUGGUUGUUUAACUUCUCUUCGAGAAUAUUAGCAGUCUUAGAUCUUGCCUAUCAUUGAAUUCUCAUACACGAACACGUGUACAUUGUAUGUGUAUAUUAGGGUAAUUCGUCUCGGCGAGAAUCUACUUACAUUCAUGCACAAGUAAUGACAUGGCUAAAAUUUAAUGAUUUGCUCGACAAUCGCGGCCAUUAAAAACAACAAGGCAAUCAAUAAUAGACUCCAUUAUUGGACAAACAUUACUUACGACAUUUCAAUAUUAUGCGCAGGAUACAUCUAGCAUGUGGUUGUGCGUGGAUUUGAACCAGUGAUCAUGAUGAAUAUUAAUAUACAUGUAUGCGUAUCUACUAGCAUACAUAUCAUAAGCCAGGCACGUAGCAUCGUUUUUGAAAUUGGGUGGGGACAAACUCAUCCUAAUAAUCUUGACGAC
rnacentral:misc_RNA from 1 species